GACGAACGCUGGCGGCGUGCUUAACACAUGCAAGUCGAGCGGUAAGGCCCUUUCGGGGGUACACGAGCGGCGAACGGGUGAGUAACACGUGGGUGACCUGCCCUUAGCUCUGGGAUAAGCCUGGGAAACUGGGUCUAAUACCGGAUAUGACUCCAUGACGCAUGUUGUGGGGUGGGAAGCCUUGUGCGGCUAGGGAUGGGCCCGCGGCCUAUCAGCUUGUUGGUGGGGUGAUGGCCUACCAAGGCGACGACGGGUAGCCGGCCUGAGAGGGCGACCGGCCACACUGGGACUGAGACACGGCCCAGACUCCUACGGGAGGCAGCAGUGGGGAAUCUUGCGCAAUGGGCGAAAGCCUGACGCAGCGACGCCGCGUGAGGGAUGACGGCCU
rnacentral:rRNA from 1 species